CGAGCGGAAGCCUGAUUCUUCGGAUGAGAGUGGAAAGCGGCGGACGGGUGAGUAACGCGUGGGCACCUGCCCUUUGCAGAGGGAUAGCCAUUGGAAACGAUGAUUAAAACCUCAUAAUCCUGCAUAGGCAAAGAUUUAUCGGCAAAGGAUGGGCCUGCGUCUGAUUAGCUGGUUGGUGGGGUAACGGCUCACCAAGGCGACGAUCAGUAGCCGACCUGAGAGGGUGAUCGGCCACAUUGGAACUGAGACACGGUCCAAACUCCUACGGGAGGCAGCAGUGGGGAAUAUUGCACAAUGGGCGAAAGCCUGAUGCAGCAACGCCGCGUGAAGGAGGAAGGCCUUCGGGUCGUAAACUUCUGUCCUUGAGGAAGAAACUGACGGUACUCAAGGAGGAAGCCCCGGCUAACUACGUGCCAGCAGCCGCGGUAAUACGUAGGGGGCAAGCGUUAUCCGGAAUUAUUGGGCGUAAAGAGUGCGUAGGUGGUUACCUAAGCGCAGGGUAUAAGGCAAUGGCUCAACCAUUGUUCGCCCUGCGAACUGGGCUACUUGAGUGCAGGAGAGGAAAGCGGAAUUCCUAGUGUAGCGGUGAAAUGCGUAGAUAUUAGGAGGAACACCAGUGGCGAAGGCGGCUUUCUGGACUGUAACUGACACUGAGGCACGAAAGCGUGGGGAGCAAACAGGAUUAGAUACCCUGGUAGUCCACGCCGUANACGAUGAGCACUAGGUGUCGGGGCCGCA
rnacentral:rRNA from 1 species